AUUGAACGCUGGCGGCAUGCUUUACACAUGCAAGUCGAACGGCAGCGGGGAGGAGCUUGCUUCUCUGCCGGCGAGUGGCGCACGGGUGAGUAAUACAUCGGAACUUGUCGAGAAGAGGGGGAUAACCACCCGAACGGGUGGCUAAUACCGCAUAAAUUCUGAGGCAGAAAGCUGGGGACCUAGGAAUAGGCCUAGCGCUUUUUGAGCGGCCGAUGUCGGAUUAGCUAGUUGGUGAGGUAAAGGCUUACCAAGGCGAAGAUCUGUAGCGGGUCUGAGAGGAUGAUCCGCCACACUGGAACUGAGACACGGCCCAGACUCCUACGGGAGGCAGCAGUGGGGAAUUUUGGACAAUGGGGGCAACCCUGAUCCAGCCAUGCCGCGUGUAUGAAGAAGGCCUUAGGGUUGUAAAGUACUUUUGUUAGGGAAGAAAAGUCAGCUGUGAAUAAUGGCUGAUACUGACGGUACCUAAAGAAUAAGCACCGGCUAACUACGUG
rnacentral:rRNA from 1 species